rnacentral:rRNA from 1 species
CCUACGGGGGGCAGCAGUAGGGAAUAUUGCUCAAUGGGGGAAACCCUGAAGCAGCAACGCCGCGUGGAGGAUGAAGGUUUUCGGAUUGUAAACUCCUGUUGUUAGAGAAGAAAAUGACGGUAUCUAACGAAUAAGCGCCUGCUAACUCCGUGCCAGCAGCCGCGGUAAUACGGUGGGUGCAAGCGUUACUCGGUAUCAAUGUGCGUAAAGGGCGCGUAGGCGGGAUAGCUAGUCAGAUGUGAAAGCCGAUGGCUUAACCACAGGACUGCAUUUGAUACUGUUAUUCUAGAGUUUGGGAGAGGUAGGUGGAAUUCUAUGUGAAGCGGUAAAAUCCGUAGAGAUAAAGAGGAACACUCAAGGCGAAGGCGACCUGCUAGAACAAAACUGACGCUGAGGCGCGAAAGCGUGGGGAGCAAACAGGAUUAGAUACCCGGGUAGUC